rnacentral:tRNA from 2 species
CAAAAAAGCCGGAAUAGCUCAGUUGGUAGAGCAGAGGACUGAAAAUCCUCGUGUC